rnacentral:rRNA from 1 species
UACGUAGGGUGCGAGCGUUAAUCGGAAUUACUGGGCGUAAAGCGUGCGCAGGCGGUUUUGUAAGCCAGAUGUGAAAUCCCCGGGCUUAACCUGGGAAUGGCAUUUGGGACUGCAAGGCUCGAGUGCGGCAGAGGAGACUGGAAUUCCUGGUGUAGCAGUGAAAUGCGUAGAUAUCAGGAGGAACACCGGUGGCGAAGGCAGAUCUCUGGGCCUUACCUGACGCUCAGGUGCGAAAGCUAGGGGAGCGAACAGG